rnacentral:rRNA from 1 species
UAGAUACCCUAUUAUUUGAAAUGUAAAUUAUUUACUAAAGUAGUAGUAGUUAUGUUCUUGAAACUUAAAAAAUUUGGCGGUAUUUUAGUCUGUUCAGAGGAACCUGUCCUAUAAUCGAUAAUCCACGUUGGACCUAACUUAAAUUUGUUUUCAGUAUGUAUACCGUCGUUAUAAGAAUAUUUUAUAAGAAUAAUAAUUUUCUAGAUUUUUUAUAAAAAUUUAUAUCAGAUCAAGGUGCAGCUUAUAUUUAAGUAGAGAUGGGUUACAAUAAUUAUAUUUAUACGAAUUAAUUUUUGAAACAAAAUUAUGAAGGUGGAUUUGAAUGUAAAAUUAUAAAGAUUAAUAAUUUGAUUUUAGCU